rnacentral:rRNA from 1 species
CCAGACUCCUACGGGAGGCAGCAGUGAGGAAUAUUGGUCAAUGGGCGCGAGCCUGAACCAGCCAAGUAGCGUGAAGGAUGACUGCCCUACGGGUUGUAAACUUCUUUUAUAAAGGAAUAAAGUGAGGCACGUGUGCCUUUUUGUAUGUACUUUAUGAAUAAGGAUCGGCUAACUCCGUGCCAGCAGCCGCGGUAAUACGGAGGAUCCGAGCGUUAUCCGGAUUUAUUGGGUUUAAAGGGAGCGUAGAUGGGUUGUUAAGUCAGUUGUGAAAGUUUGCGGCUCAACCGUAAAAUUGCAAUUGAUACUGGCAGUCUUGAGUACAGUUGAGGUAGGCGGAAUUCGUGGUGUAGCGGUGAAAUGCUUAGAUAUCAGGAGGAACACCGGUGGCGAAGGCGGCCUGCUGGACCGCGACUGACGUUGAGGCUCGAAAGCGUGGGGAGCGAACAGGAUUAGAUACCCCAGUACA